rnacentral:rRNA from 1 species
AACAUCGCCUCCUGCAAAAAUCAAUGUAUAGGAGGUCCUGCCUGCCCAGUGACAACUUGUUAAACGGCCGCGGUAUUUUGACCGUGCUAAGGUAGCGCAAUCACUUGUCUUUUAAAUGAAGACCUGUAUGAAUGGUGGAACGAGGGCUUAACUGUCUCCCUUCUCCCGUCAAUGAAAUUGAUCUGCCCGUGCAGAAGCGGGCAUAUUUAUACAAGACGAGAAGACCCUUUGGAGCUUAUUGGGGCGACCGCGGGGGAAAACAAAGCCCCCACGCAAAACUAAGAGAGACAUCUCUAAGCCACAGAACAUCUGACCAAAAGAUCCGGCCCACAAGCCGAUCAACGAACCAAGUUACCCUAGGGAUAACAGCGCAAUCCUCUCCAAGAGUUCAUAUCGACGAGAGGGUUUACGACCUCGAUGUUGGAUCAGGACAUCCUAAUGGUGCAGCCGCUAUUAAGGGUUCGUUUGUUCAACGAUUAAAGUCCUACGUG